CGAGUUUGAUCAUGGCUCAGGACGAACGCUGGCGGCAUGCCUAAUACAUGCAAGUCGAGCGGAAUGACGAGAGCUUGCUCUCUGAUUUUAGCGGCGGACGGGUGAGUAACACGUGGGCAACCUGCCCUACAGAUGGGGAUAACUCCGGGAAACCGGGGCUAAUACCGAAUAAUCAGUUUGUCCGCAUGGACAAACUCUGAAAGACGGUUUCGGCUGUCACUGUAGGAUGGGCCCGCGGCGCAUUAGCUAGUUGGUGGGGUAAUGGCCUACCAAGGCAACGAUGCGUAGCCGACCUGAGAGGGUGAUCGGCCACACUGGGACUGAGACACGGCCCAGACUCCUACGGGAGGCAGCAGUAGGGAAUCUUCCACAAUGGACGAAAGUCUGAUGGAGCAAUGCCGCGUGAGCGAAGAAGGUUUUCGGAUCGUAAAGCUCUGUUGUAAGGGAAGAACAAGUACGGGAGUAACUGCCCGUGCCAUGACGGUACCUUAUUAGAAAGCCACGGCUAACUACGUGCCAGCAGCCGCGGUAAUAAUC
rnacentral:rRNA from 1 species